rnacentral:lncRNA from 1 species
GAGCUUUAAUAAAAUGAUAGAAACACAACUAGCUCAGAUCGCCGCUGCAAUUCCUACUGAGAAUGCAGGUAGACUCCCGGGGCAACCCGAGAACUCUCCCACUAACCAUGCAGGGUGAAAUUCAGAGAGUCCUUCUCAAAAAAGACUAAACAUUUUUUUUGAGCCUCCGCCGAAGGUAAUCGGUAGUUAUCUUUAAAAUUUUUUUUGAAAAAUCUUCAAAAAUUCAUUUUCAGCUAGGAAAUAAAAUAAAAUAAUAGAAAAA